UACGAAGGGGGCUAGCGUUGUUCGGAAUCACUGGGCGUAAAGCGCACGUAGGCGGAUCUUUAAGUCAGGGGUGAAAUCCCGAGGCUCAACCUCGGAACUGCCUUUGAUACUGGGGAUCUCGAGUCCGGGAGAGGUGAGUGGAACUGCGAGUGUAGAGGUGAAAUUCGUAGAUAUUCGCAAGAACACCAGUGGCGAAGGCGGCUCACUGGCCCGGAACUGACGCUGAGGAGCGAAAGCGUGGGGAGCAAACAGG
rnacentral:rRNA from 1 species